GACAGAGGUGCCAAGCGUUAGGCGGAAUCACUGGGCUUAAAGCGUGUGUAGGCGGAUCGUUAAGUACCUUGUGAAAUCCCACGGCUCAACCGUGGAACUGCUGGGUAUACUGGCGGUCUUGAGCCACCUAGGGGCAACUGGAACAAGCGGUGGAGCGGUGAAAUGCGUAGAUAUCGCUUGGAACGCCAACGGUGAAAACAGGUUGCUGGGGGUGUGUUGACGCUGAGACACGAAAGCCAGGGGAGCGAACGGG
rnacentral:rRNA from 1 species